AGAGUUUGAUCAUGGCUCAGGACGAACGCUGGCGGCGUGCUUAACACAUGCAAGUCGAACGGGAACCUUUAUUUCGGUAAAGGUGAGAGUGGCAAACGGGUGAGUAACACGUAGGCAACCUGCCGACAGGAUGGGGACAACAUUCCGAAAGGAAUGCUAAUACCGAAUGGAGUCCGGGGAUGGCAUCAUCCUCGGAUAAAAGAUGGCCUCUGAAUAUGCUAUCGCCUGUCGAUGGGCCUGCGUCUGAUUAGCCAGUUGGUGGGGUAACGGCUCACCAAGGCGACGGUACAUAGCCGACCUGAGAGGGUGAUCGGCCACACUGGGACUGAGACACGGCCCAGACUCCUACGGGAGGCAGCAGUAGGGAAUCUUCGGCAAUGGACGGAAGUCUGACCGAGCAACGCCGCGUGAGUGAAGAAGGUUUUCGGAUAGUAAAGCUCUGUUGUAAGAGAAGAACGAGUGUGAGAGUGGAAAGUUCACACUGUGACG
rnacentral:rRNA from 1 species